GAUGAACGCUAGCUACAGGCUUAACACAUGCAAGUCGAGGGGCAGCAUGGACAUAGCUUGCUAUGUUUGAUGGCGACCGGCGCACGGGUGCGUAACACGUAUCCAAUCUGCCCGUUACUCGGGGAUAGCCUACUGAAAGGAAGAUUAAUACCCGAUGGCAUUCAUUAGCGGCAUAGCUUGUGAAUUAAAGAUUUAUCGGUAACGGAUGAGGAUGCGUACGAUUAGCUAGUUGGCGGGGUAACGGCCCACCAAGGCUACGAUCGUUAGGGGUUCUGAGAGGAAGGUCCCCCACACUGGAACUGAGACACGGUCCAGACUCCUACGGGAGGCAGCAGUGAGGAAUAUUGGUCAAUGGUCGGAAGACUGAACCAGCCAAGUAGCGUGAAGGAUGACUGCCCUACGGGUUGUAAACUUCUUUUGUUUGGGAAUAAAAGACGCUACGUGUAGCGUUCUGCAUGUACCUUACGAAUAAGCAUCGGCUAAUUCCGUGCCAGCCGCCGCGGUAAGAC
rnacentral:rRNA from 1 species